rnacentral:rRNA from 1 species
AUUGAACGCUGGCGGCAGGCCUAACACAUGCAAGUAGGACGCAGUUGCGAACGGGUGAGUAACGCGUAGGAACCUACCUAUUAGAGGGGGAUAACUAUUGGAAACGAUAGCUAAUACCGCAUACUAGUAGAUGAGCCUAGGUCGGAUUAGCUAGUUGGUGGGGUAAAGGCCUACCAAGGCGACGAUCCGUAACUGGUCUGAGAGGAUGAUCAGUCACACUGGAACUGUGACACGGUCCAGACUCCUACGGGAGGCAGCAGUGGGGAAUAUUGGACAAUGGGCGAAAGCCUGAUCCAGCCAUGCCGCGUGUGUGAAGAAGGUCUUCGGAUUGUAAAGCACUUUAAGUUGGGAGGCGUUACCAACAGAAUAAGCACCGGCUAACUUCGUGCCAGCAGCCGCGGUAAUAC